UUUAUUACCAUAUUUAGCUGCC
rnacentral:misc_RNA from 1 species